UGGGGAAUUUUGGACAAUGGGCGAAAGCCUGAUCCAGCAAUGCCGCGUGUGUGAAGAAGGCCUUCGGGUUGUAAAGCACUUUUGUCCGGAAAGAAAUCCUCUGGGUUAAUACCUCGGGGGGAUGACGGUACCGGAAGAAUAAGCACCGGCUAACUACGUGCCAGCAGCCGCGGUAAUACGUAGGGUGCAAGCGUUAAUCGGAAUUACUGGGCGUAAAGCGUGCGCAGGCGGUUUUGUAAGACGGAUGUGAAAUCCCCGGGCUUAACCUGGGAACUGCAUUCGUGACUGCAAGGCUAGAGUAUGGCAGAGGGGGGUUAGAAUUCCACGUGUAGCAGUGAAAUGCGUAGAGAUGUGGAGGAAUACCGAUGGCGAAGGCAGCCCCCUGGGCCAAUACUGACGCUCAUGCACGAAAGCGUGGGGAGCAAACAGGAUUAGAUACCCUGGUAGUCCACGCCCUAAACGAUGUCAACUAGUUGUGGGGAUUCAUUUCCUUAGUAACGUAGCUAACGCGUGAAGUUGACCGCCU
rnacentral:rRNA from 1 species